rnacentral:rRNA from 1 species
UGAGGAAUAUUGGACAAUGGGCGCAAGCCUGAUCCAGCCAUGCCGCGUGCAGGAAGAAGCAUCUAUGGUGUGUAAACCGCUUUUGUACGGGCAGAAACACUCCUCCGUGCUGGAGCUUGACGGUACCGUAAGAUUAAGGAUCGGCUCACUCCGUGCCAGCAGCCGCGGUACUACGGAGGUUCCAAGCGUUCUCCGGAAUCAUUGGGUUUAUAGGCUCCGUAGGCGGUUUAGUAAGUCAGUGGUGAAAGCCCAUCGCUCAACGAUGGAACGGCCAUUGAUACUGCUAGACUUGAAUUAUUAGGAAGUAACUAGAAUAUGUAGUGUAGCGGUGAAAUGCUUAGAUAUUACAUGGAAUACCAAUUGCGAAGGCAGGUUACUACUAAUGGAUUGACGCUGAUGGACGAAAGCGUGGGGAGCGAACA